rnacentral:lncRNA from 10 species
GCCAGCAAGAAGGCAGGCCCUCAGCUGAAUGGCCACAAGGAAAUAAAUUCUACCAACACUGUGAGAAAAUUUGGAUAUGGAAUCAUCCUCAGUCAAGCCAUCAGAUGAAAACACAGCCUGUCAAAUACCUUGAUUAUAGCCUUUUGAGACCCUAACCAGUCAGGAAUCUAAGAGACCAGUAAAAGAUAACCUUAUGAUACAUUAUGUGCUGUUGCAUUUCUACUCUUUCCGGAUGCGAAAGUGGAUAUUGACUUCAUAAAUUCAACACUACUUGACUUUGAUUGACAGAUUUCACAUGCCAUGUUCUGUGUGCUUCAAGAUCCGUAAAAUAGGUUUAAAGGAUCUAUGAAUGGCAAAACUGUUGACUUGAAGACCAACUAGAGAAGGUUCAAGAAUGCUAUGGCAAUUGUCAUGAUGUGUCCACUGUGCAUUUUCCUUCUGGCUCCCCGACCUUCUCAGAUGUUUCAGAUAAGAGUUUUUGUUAGCUAAUAGAUCAAGUUGUAUUAUGGAAACCAUUGCAGUCUAAUUUCAUCUGUGUUUAUGAAAAUCUUGCAUAUAUUCUACCUGUAUUGUAUUUUACCUAAGUUAUUAAAAUAUAGUAGCUGGUGAACCAAGACUGUUGUUAUUAUUGUCAUUAUUCUUGUCUUUUUCUCCUCCUCCUUAACAUUAGUUAUAACUUUUCUUUUUUUUUUUUUGAGACGGAGUCUCGCUCUGUCCCCCAGGCUG